AUCAUGGCUCAGAUUGAACGCUGGCGGCAUGCCUUACACAUGCAAGUCGAACGGCAGCACGGGAGCUUGCUCCUGGUGGCGAGUGGCGAACGGGUGAGUAAUACAUCGGAACGUACCCUGAAGUGGGGGAUAACGUAGCGAAAGUUACGCUAAUACCGCAUAUUCUGUGAGCAGGAAAGAGGGGGGAUCGCAAGACCUCUUGCUUUAGGAGCGGCCGAUGUCGGAUUAGCUAGUUGGUGAGGUAAAGGCUCACCAAGGCGACGAUCCGUAGCGGGUCUGAGAGGAUGAUCCGCCACACUGGGACUGAGACACGGCCCAGACUCCUACGGGAGGCAGCAGUGGGGAAUUUUGGACAAUGGGCGCAAGCCUGAUCCAGCCAUGCCGCGUGAGUGAAGAAGGCCUUCGGGUUGUAAAGCUCCUUCGGUGGGGAAGAAAUUGCACAGGAUAAUACCUUGUGUAGAUGACGGUACCCGCAUAAGAAGCACCGGCUAACUACGUG
rnacentral:rRNA from 1 species